UCACUGCGACACAGAUGGUCACUCGGAGGAGUGAUGGUGCCUUCGACGUGACAGCAACCAUAAGCAGAAGGACAAAUCAAUCCGAGUUCCAUUUCAGAUGCAUUGCUUCUGGUCUGGCUGUCAAUGGAACCGCAGAACGUACUGUGAUUGUUCAAAUCAUCAAACCUGUAAAAGAAUCUCUACCAGGUGGAUAUAUCUUCCUUAUUCUCCUUCUUUUUGUGGCUACUUCCGCUUUUCUGGUCCUUGUCGUUUUUAGAGUGUGGAAGUAUCACAAGUUUCACACCCAACCAGAUUGCCCUAUUGACAACCAGGCAUCCGUUGAGUCUCAAGAAAAUGCUAACUCUCGGACCAGACGUGGGUUUAAAUUGAUCAUGACGAAAGAUUGUGUUUGCUGGGUAUUCGGUUGCAAGAAACAGAAGGAUAGAACUCACAAUAAUGGUGAAAACAACCACUGAACGAGGUAGAGACUGAGUUGGAGGACCUUAGAGAGAAGCUGACAAGUUAUAGACCAGGAAAGACCACGGGAAUAGCAGGUGUAGACAUACCUGACUCGUCGAUCCAUAUUGGACUUUUCGGUGUCACGGGUGCAGGGAAUUCAUCCUUAAUCAAUUCACUGCACUUCGCUCUUAGGAAUGAGUACAAGGAUGUCGCCAUCGAAGCUGAUGAUACAUCAGCUGGUAGUCAAACAAAGUUCAGGGAGACGGUAGAGCUAACAGAACACAUACACAUCGUUGACAAUCGAGGAAUGAAGGACUUCAAAAAGAAACAGAUUGAGGAAGACUUGAUGCCUCA